UGCGUAGGCGGUUUGAUAAGUCAGGAGUGAAAGUUAUCUGCUUAACGGGGAAAUUGCUUUUGAUACUGUCAGGCUUGAAUCGGGUUGAGGUUAGCGGAAUGUGACAUGUAGCGGUGAAAUGCAUAGAUAUGUCAUAGAACACCAAUUGCGAAGGCAGCUAGCUGAGCUCAGAUUGACGCUGAGGCACGAAAGCGUGGGGAGCGAACA
rnacentral:rRNA from 1 species